GACGAACGCUGGCGGCAUGCCUAAUACAUGCAAGUCGAGCGGAUUGAUGGGAGCUUGCUCCCUGAUAGUUAGCGGCGGACGGGUGAGUAACACGUGGGCAACCUACCUUUAAGACUGGGAUAACUUCGGGAAACCGGAGCUAAUACCGGAUAACAUGUAAGACCACAUGGUCUUACAUUGAAAGAUGGCUUCGGCUAUCACUUAUAGAUGGGCCCGCGGCGCAUUAGCUAGUUGGUGAGGUAAUGGCUCACCAAGGCGACGAUGCGUAGCCGACCUGAGAGGGUGAUCGGCCACACUGGGACUGAGACACGGCCCAGACUCCUACGGGAGGCAGCAGUAGGGAAUCUUCCGCAAUGGACGAAAGUCUGACGGAGCAACGCCGCGUGAACGAUGAAGGCUUUCGGGUCGUAAAGUUCUGUUGUUAGGGAAGAACAAGUACCAGAGUAACUGCUGGUACCUUGAUGGUACCUAACCAGAAAGCCACGGCUAACUACGUGCCAGCAGCCGCGGUAAUACGUAGGUGGCAAGCGUUAUCCGGAAUUAUUGGGCGUAAAGCGCUCGCAGGCGGUCUUUUAAGUCUGAUGUGAAAGCCCACGGCUCAACCGUGGAGGGUCAUUGGAAACUGGGAGACUUGAGUGCAGAAGAGGAGAGUGGAAUUCCACGUGUAGCGGUGAAAUGCGUAGAGAUGUGGAGGAACACCAGUGGCGAAGGCGACUCUCUGGUCUGUAACUGACGCUGAGGAGCGAAAGCGUGGGGAGCGAACAGGAUUAGAUACCCUGGUAGUCCACGCCGUAAACGAUGAGUGCUAAGUGUUAGAGGGUUUCCGCCCUUUAGUGCUGCAGCUAACGCAUUAAGCACUCCGCCUGGGGAGUACGGUCGCAAGACUGAAACUCAAAGGAAUUGACGGGGGCCCGCACAAGCGGUGGAGCAUGUGGUUUAAUUCGAAGCAACGCGAAGAACCUUACCAGGUCUUGACAUCCUUAUGCCAACCCUAGAGAUAGGGCUUUCCCUUCGGGGACAUAAGUGACAGGUGGUGCAUGGUUGUCGUCAGCUCGUGUCGUGAGAUGUUGGGUUGAGUCCCGCAACGAGCGCAACCCUUGAUCUUAGUUGCCAGCAUUAAGUUGGGCACUCUAAGGUGACUGCCGGUGACAAACCGGAGGAAGGUGGGGAUGACGUCAAAUCAUCAUGCCCCUUAUGACCUGGGCUACACACGUGCUACAAUGGAUGGUACAAAGGGCAGCGAAACUGCGAGGUUAAGCGAAUCCCAUAAAACCAUUCUCAGUUCGGAUUGCAGGCUGCAACUCGCCUGCAUGAAGCUGGAAUCGCUAGUAAUCGCGGAUCAGCAUGCCGCGGUGAAUACGUUCCCGGGCCUUGUACACACCGCCCGUCACACCACGAGAGUUUGUAACACCCGAAGUCGGUGGGGUAACCGUAAGGAGCCAGCCGCCUAAGGUGGGACAGAUGAUUGGGGUG
rnacentral:rRNA from 1 species